UACAGAGGGUGCGAGCGUUAAUCGGAAUGACUGGGCGUAAAGGGUGUGUAGGUGGUUUGAUAAGUUAGGUGUGAAAGUCCUGGGCUUAACCUGGGGAGGUCGCUUAAGACUGUCGAGCUAGAGUGCUGUAGAGGAAGGUGGAAUUUCCGGAGUAGCAGUGAAAUGCGUAGAUAUCGGAAGGAACAUCAGUGGCGAAGGCGACUUUCUGGACAGAUACUGACACUGAGGCACGAAAGCGUGGGGAGCAAACAGG
rnacentral:rRNA from 1 species